CAAGGAAUUUUGCGCAAUGGGCGAAAGCCUGACGCAGCGACGCCGCGUGGGGGAAGACGGCUCUCGGGUUGUAAACCCCUUUUCUCAGGGAAGAAUAAUGACGGUACCUGAGGAAUAAGUCACGGCUAACUACGUGCCAGCAGCCGCGGUAAUACGUAGGUGGCUAGCGUUAUCCGGAUUUACUGGGCGUAAAGAGCGCGUAGGUGGUCUUCCAAGUCGAAUGUAAAAUCUCCUGGCUCAACUGGGAGGGCGCAUUCGAUACUGUUGGACUUGAGGGCAGUAGAGGAAAGCGGAAUUCCCGGUGUAGUGGUGAAAUGCGUAGAUAUCGGGAGGAACACCAGUGGCGAAGGCGGCUUUCUGGGCUGCACCUGACACUGAGGCGCGAAAGCGUGGGGAGCGA
rnacentral:rRNA from 1 species